rnacentral:rRNA from 1 species
UAAACGACUCUCGGCAACGGAUAUCUCGGCUCUUAUGCGAUACUUGGUGUGAAUUGCAGAAUCCCGUGAACCAUCGAGUCUUUGAACGCAAGUUGCGCCUGAAGCCAUUAGGUUGAAGGCACGUCUGCCUGGGCGUCACGC